rnacentral:tRNA from 1 species
UGAGGUAUAACUCAGUGAUAGUGUGUGCUUAGCAUGCGUGAGGUCCUGGGUUCGAUCCCCAGUAUCUCCC